rnacentral:rRNA from 1 species
UACGGGGGGGGCAAGCGUUGUUCGGAAUUACUGGGCGUAAAGGGCGCGUAGGCGGGAUGGCAAGUCGGUCGUGAAAUCCCUCGGCUCAACCGAGGAACGUCGAUCGAUACUGCUGUUCUUGAGGAUUGCAGAGGAGACUGGAAUUCCCGGUGUAGCGGUGAAAUGUGUAGAGAUCGGGAGGAACACCGGUGGCGAAGGCGGGUCUCUGGGCAAUUCCUGACGCUGAGGCGCGAAAGCGUGGGGAGCAACGG